rnacentral:ncRNA from 1 species
ACAGUACAAACUGAGCAGGCAGUAUUUUCCGUAGGAAAAUAUGUGGCCGGGUCGUAGGGCUAAUGGAAAAUGUUGGCCUGAGACAGCAGAAACCGAAGCGGUAAAGCUUCUGCACAUCUGCGGGACAGU